rnacentral:rRNA from 1 species
GACGAACGCUGGCGGCGUGCUUAACACAUGCAAGUCGAACGGAAAGGCCUUUUCGGAGGUACUCGAGUGGCGAACGGGUGAGUAACACGUGGGUGAUCUGCCCUGCACUCUGGGAUAAGCCUGGGAAACUGGGUCUAAUACCGGAUAGGACCGCACUUUAGUGUGUGUGGUGGAAAGUUUUUUCGGUGUAGGAUGAGCCCGCGGCCUAUCAGCUUGUUGGUGGGGUAAUGGCCUACCAAGGCGGCGACGGGUAGCCGGACUGAGAGGUUGGUCGGCCACAUUGGGACUGAGAUACGGCCCAGACUCCGACGGGUGGCAGCAGUGGGGAAUAUUGCACAAUGGGCGCAAGCCUGAUGCAGCGACGCCGCGUGGGGGAUGACGGCCUUCGGGUUGUAAACUCCUUUCGCCAGGGACGAAGCGUUUUGUGACGGUACCUGGAGAAGAAGCACCGGCUAACUACGUG